rnacentral:ncRNA from 2 species
UGUGGGAGUGAGCCUGCUCGCGAUGAGGCCGUGUCAGGCGACAUAAGUAUCGACUGAUACGCCGCCAUCGCGAGCAGGCUCACUCCCACA